GAUCAUGGCUCAGAACGAACGCUGGCGGCGCGUCUUAAACAUGCAAGUCGAACGAUCUGUAGCAAUACAGGGAGUGGCGGACGGGUGAGGAACACGUAGGAAUCUACCUCGAAGAGCGGGACAACUUUGGGAAACCGGGGCUAAUACCGCAUAGUACAGAGAUGUUAAAGGGCUAGCAAUAGUCGCUUCGAGAUGAGCCUGCGGUCUAUCAGCUUGUUGGUGAGGUAAUGGCUCACCAAGGCUACGACGGAUAGCCGGUCUGAGAGGAUGAUCGGCCACACUGGCACUGAGACACGGGCCAGACUCCUACGGGAGGCAGCAGUUAAGAAUCUUGCACAAUGGGGGCAACCCUGACGCAGCGACGCCGCGUGAAGGAUGAAGGCUUUCGGGUUGUAAACUUCGGUAGACUGGGAAGAAGAACUACGUUCGUUGAGGGCGUAGAGUGACGGUACCAGUCUGAAGCCCCGGCUAAUUACGUG
rnacentral:rRNA from 1 species